AACGAACGCUGGCGGCAUGCCUAACACAUGCAAGUCGAACGAGACCUUCGGGUCUAGUGGCGCACGGGUGCGUAACGCGUGGGAACCUGCCUUUAGGUUCGGAAUAACUCAGAGAAAUUUGAGCUAAUACCGGAUAAUGUCUUCGGACCAAAGAUUUAUCGCCUUUAGAUGGGCCCGCGUUGGAUUAGCUAGUUGGUGGGGUAAAGGCCUACCAAGGCGACGAUCCAUAGCUGGUCUGAGAGGAUGAUCAGCCACACUGGGACUGAGACACGGCCCAGACUCCUACGGGAGGCAGCAGUGGGGAAUUUUGGACAAUGGGCGGCAAGCCUGAUCCAGCAAUGCCGCGUGCAGGAUGAAGGCCUC
rnacentral:rRNA from 1 species